CUGCAAAUAUUCUUGCUGUUCUGAUUUUGUAACAAUCAAUUCAACGUUUGCCAUAUUAAGACCAUGCAUGUGUUCCCAGACCUAAUUCUUUCCCUAGGUCUGGUUUUAUAAAGUGCUGGUGAUAAAA
ensembl:snoRNA SNORA72 Small nucleolar RNA SNORA72